rnacentral:rRNA from 1 species
GAUGAACGCUGGCUACAGGCUUAACACAUGCAAGUCGAGGGGAAACGGCAUUGGGUGCUUGCACCGAAUGGACGUCGACCGGCGCACGGGUGAGUAACGCGUAUCCAACCUUCCCGUUACUGCGGGAUAACCUGCCGAAAGGCAGACUAAUACCGCAUGUUCUUCGAUGACGGCAUCAGAUUCGAAGCAAAGAUCCGUCGGUAACGGAGGGGGAUGCGUCUGAUUAGCUUGUUGGCGGGGCGACGGCCCACCAAGGCGACGAUCAGUAGGGGUUCUGAGAGGAAGGUCCCCCACAUUGGAACUGAGACACGGUCCAAACUCCUACGGGAGGCAGCAGUGAGGAAUAUUGGUCAAUGGGCGGAAGCCUGAACCAGCCAAGUAGCGUGCAGGAUGACGGCCCUACGGGUUGUAAACUGCUUUUAUGCGGGGAUAAAGUGAGGGACGCGUCCCUUUUUGCAGGUACCGCAUGAAUAAGGACCGGCUAAUUCCGUGCCAGCAGCCGCGGUAAUACGGAAGGUCCGGGCGUUAUCCGGAUUUAUUGGGUUUAAAGGGAGCGUAGGCCGGGGAUUAAGUGUGUUGUGAAAUGUAGGCGCCCAACGUCUGACUUGCAGCGCAUACUGGUUCCCUUGAGUACGCGCAACGCCGGCGGAAUUCGUCGUGUAGCGGUGAAAUGCUUAGAUAUGACGAAGAACCCCGAUUGCGAAGGCAGCCGGCGGGAGCGCAACUGACGCUGAAGCUCGAAGGUGCGGGUAUCGAACAGG